UAACGCGUUAUUACCGAUGGGGUGACGCAUGGAGCAGAAUUUAGCCACUGAUGGAUGUGGCGGAUUGCGCGUAAGAUGUACAGGUGGCAAAUCCCCUGUACGCAUAUCUGAGACGCAGGACCUUUUGAGGGCUUCGGCCCAAAGAAGAGUAAUUCCGGUCUGUGCCAGGAAAAACCUCUAAGGGAGUUUUAUUUGUGCCCGUACCGUAAACCGACACAGGUAGACGAGGCGAAUAGCCUAAGGUGCUCGAGACAACUCGGGAGAAGGAACUCGGCAAAUUAACCCCGUAACUUCGGGAUAAGGGGAGCCUCCAUUUGUUAGUGUGAACAGCACAAAGCAUAAGGAGGCCGCAGAGAAAUGGCAGAAGCGACUGUUUACCAAAAACACAGGGCUAUGCAAACCCGUAAGGGAAAGUAUAUAGUCUGACACGUGCCCGGUGCUGGAAGGUUAACAGGAGAUGUCAGCGCAAGCGAAGCAUUGAAUCGAAGCCCCAGUAAACGGCGGCCGUAACGAUAACGGUCCUAAGGUAGCGAAAUUCCUUGUCGGGUAAGUUCCGACCUGCACGAAUCGUGUAACGACUUCUGCACUGUCUCCUCCCGGGACUCGGCGAAAUUGCAGUGUCGGUGAAGAUGCCGACAACCCGCACCUGGACGGAAAGACCCCAUGAACCUUCACUGUAUUUUGACAUUGGUUUUAGGCUUGACAUGUGUAGGAUAGGUGGGAGGCUUUGAAGCGGUGACGCCAGUCAUCGUGGAGCCAUCCUUGAAAUACCACCCUUGUCCGGUUUGAGAUCUAACCGUGGCCCGUCAUCCGGGUCCGGGACCGUGUCUGAUGGUCAGUUUGACUGGGGCGGUCGCCUCCUAAAUGGUAACGGAGGCAUCCAAUGGUUCCCUCAGCGCGGUCGGUAAUCGCGCGUAGAGCAUAAAGGCAUAAGGGAGCUUGACUGCGAGACAGACAUGUCGAGCAGGUACGAAAGUAGGGCUUAGUGAUCCCGCGGUACAGCGUGGAACGGCCGUUGCUCAAUGGAUAAAAGGUACUCUGGGGAUAACAGGCUGAUCUCCCCCAAGCGUUCAUAGCGACGGGGAGGUUUGGCACCUCGAUGUCGGCUCGUCGCAUCCUGGGGCUGGAGAAGGUCCCAAGGGUUUGGCUGUUCGCCAAUUAAAGCGGCACGCGAGCUGGGUUCAGAACGUCGUGAGACAGUUCGGUCCCUAUCCGGUGUGGGCGCACGAAAUUUGAGGGAACCUGUCCUUAGUACGAGAGGACCGGGACGGACGCACCUCUGGUGUACCGGCUGUCACGCCAGUGGCAUUGCCGGGUAGCUAUGUGCGGAUUGGAGAAACGCUGAAAGCAUCUAAGCGUGAAGCCAUUCCCAAGAUUAGAUUUCGCGGGGGCAACCCCCUAAAGGAUCGUUAGAGACCAUAACGUUGAUAGGUCACAGGUGUAAGCAUAGCGAUAUGUUGAGCCGAGUGAUACUAAUAGUCC
rnacentral:rRNA from 1 species